GAUGAACGCUGGCGGCGUGCCUAAUACAUGCAAGUCGAGCGAACAGACGAUGAGCUUUCUCCUUUGACGUUAGCGGCUGACGGGUGAGUAACACGUGGAUCACCUUCCUCUUUUUCUUGGAUAACUUCGUGAAACCGGUUCUACUACCGCAUCAUAUAUUGUACCGCUUGGUUCAAUAGUUCUUGACGGUUUUCCUGUCACUUUUCGCUGGUUCCUCGCCGGAUUAGCUAGUUGGUAAGGUAAAGGCUUACCAAGGCUACGAUGCGUAUCCGACCUGAGAGGGUGAUCGGCCACACUGGAACUGAGACACGGUCCAGACUCCUACGGGAGGCAGCAGUAGGGAAUAUUCCGCAAUGGGCGAAAGCCUGACGGAGCAAUGCCGCGUGAGUGAUGAAGGUCUUCGGAUCGUAAAACUCUGUUAUUAGGAAAGAAAAAAUGUGGAAGAAAAUAUGCACGUCUUGACGGUACCUAAACAGAAAGCAACGGCUAACUACGUG
rnacentral:rRNA from 1 species